AUAUUUAUAUUAAUUGCUGCGGAGCAAACGAAAAAAAUCAAUACAACGAAUCAUUUAUGAUGCAAAAACUCGUGGACGCUGUCAUAUAUAUUGAGAAAACAGGAACGUAGACGUAAGAGAUGACAGAGGCUUACAAUAAACCAAAAAUUAAACAAUGAUUGCUUGUUACUUGCUCGACUACGGAAUACAACGGAUUUCUGGCGUAAACGCAGUACGAAUCCGAAAGAGAUGGCAUAAUGAGACGCGUCCUACACCGAUUAGAGGGAGUGCGGUUGUCAACAAAUCUUAUUGUGAUGAAGGAGGACAGGAGCAUGGGUCAUAAUGUCAAACAUGACGGAAACGACAUCAUGUGGAAACAUUCCCGCAAAGGAUCAAUGGUUUUCACAGGAGCAAAUGACGUUUAAUCAACCCUACCAAAAUCUCAAAGGUUAUAUAUCGAUAUAACAAAAAUGUAAGGGAAUAUCGAAGUUCGACCCGUUUACCCAGACGGACAUGAUGCUUCUGCCUGUAACAUACAUUUCCACUAACCAAACUUUAUAAUAGAUGUAUUAAAUUGUACUUAAAUCGAGUACGAAUUGGAACCCACUUUCAAAUUUGAUAAUACU